rnacentral:rRNA from 1 species
GACGAACGCUGGCGGCGUGCUUAACACAUGUAAGUCGAGCGAUGAAGUUUCUUCGGAAAUGGAUUAGCGGCGAACGGGUGAGGAACACGUGAAGAAUCUGCCCUCCACUUUGGGAUAACACAGGGAAACCUGUGCUAAUACCGAAUAUUGAAACAUAAGUGGCAUCACUGAGUUUUGAAAGAAUUUCGGUGGAGGAUGACUUCGCGGCCUAUCAGCUAGUUGGUGAGGUAAUGGCUCACCAAGGCAACGACGGGUAGCCGGCCUGAGAGGGCGACCGGCCACACUGGGACUGAGACACGGCCCAGACUCCUACGGGAGGCAGCAGUGGGGGAUAUUGGGCAAUGGAGGAAACUCUGACCCAGCGACGCCGCGUGCGGGAUGAAGGCCUUCGGGUUGUAAACCGCUUUCAGUAGGGAAGAAGCGAAAGUGACGGUACCUACAAAAGAAGCACCGGCUAACUAUGUGCCAGCCGCCGCAGUAA